rnacentral:rRNA from 1 species
AUUGAACGCUGGCGGCAGGCCUAACACAUGCAAGUCGAGCGAGCGGCGGACGGGUGAGUAAUGUCUGGGAAACUGCCUGAUGGAGGGGGAUAACUACUGGAAACGGUAGCUAAUACCGCAUACCAUCAGAUGUGCCCAGAUGGGAUUAGCGAGUAGGGGGGGUAACGGCUCACCUAGGCGACGAUCCCUAGCUGGUCUGAGAGGAUGACCAGCCACACUGGAACUGAUAACGGGUCCAUACGCCAACGGGAGGCAGCAGUGGGGAUUAUUGCACACUGGGCGCAAGCCUGAUGCAGCCAUGCCGCGUGUGUGAAGAAGGACUUCGGGUUGUAAAGCACUUUCAGCGGGGGGGCGUUACCCGCAGAAGAAGCACCGGCUAACUCCGUGCCAGCAGCCGCGGUAAUUC